GAUGAACGCUGGCGGCGUGCCUAAUACAUGCAAGUCGAGCGAACAGAUGAGGAGCUUGCUCCUCUGACGUUAGCGGCGGACGGGUGAGUAACACGUGGAUAACCUACCUAUAAGACUGGGAUAACUUCGGGAAACCGGAGCUAAUACCGAAUAAUAUAUUGAACCGCAUGGUUCAAUAGUGAAAGACGGUUUUGCUGUCACUUAUAGAUGGAUCCGCGCCGCAUUAGCUAGUUGGUAAGGUAACGGCUUACCAAGGCAACGAUGCGUAGCCGACCUGAGAGGGUGAUCGGCCACACUGGAACUGAGACACGGUCCAGACUCCUACGGGAGGCAGCAGUAGGGAAUCUUCCGCAAUGGGCGAAAGCCUGACGGAGCAACGCGGCGUGAGUGAUGAAGGUCUUCGGAUCGUAAAACUCUGUUAUUAGGGAAGAACAAAUGUGUAAGUAACUAUGCACGUCUUGACGGUACCUAAUCAGAAAGCCACGGCUAACUACGUG
rnacentral:rRNA from 1 species